GAGGAUGGAAGGCAAGGGAAGUCGC
rnacentral:sRNA from 1 species